rnacentral:rRNA from 1 species
CCCUUAGAUGCUCUGGGCCGCACGCGUGCUACACUGAGUGGAUCAGCGGGUCAGGUUGCGCGAAAGUGUUUCCUAAUCUUUAAAUCCGCUCGUGAUGGGGAUUGACGGUUGCAAUUUUCCGUCAUGAACGAGGAAUACCUUGUAAGCGCGGGUCAUCAUCCCGCGCUGAAUACGUCCCUGCCCUUUGUACACACCGCCCGUCGCUCCUACCGAUUGAGUGGUCCGGUGAGGCUUUGGGAUCUGGGCGGAAAGAGCGUUUCGCUGUUUCUGCCCGGAAAACUCAGUCGAACCUUAUCAUUUAGAGGAAGGAGAAGUCGUAACA